rnacentral:miRNA from 1 species
UUGGCCAAAAAGUUCGUUUGGCUUUUUCUGUAAGAUGUUACAGAAAAACCCGAAUGAAUUUUUGGCCAA